rnacentral:lncRNA from 1 species
CCCUGCAAAACUGCAGCACAAAAGAAUUUCAGCUCCACCUGCUCAGAAGUCUGAAGCCAGUGUGGCUCACCCUCACUGAUCUCAGGGUCUGCAUUUGCAAU